rnacentral:rRNA from 1 species
CGGCGGACGGGUGAGUAACACGUGGAUAACCUACCUAUAAGACUGGGAUAACUUCGGGAAACCGGAGCUAAUACCGGAUAAUAUUUUGAACCGCAUGGUUCAAAAGUGAAAGACGGUCUUGCUGUCACUUAUAGAUGGAUCCGCGCUGCAUUAGCUAGUUGGUAAGGUAACGGCUUACCAAGGCAACGAUUCAUAGCCGACCUGAGAGGGUGAUCGGCCACACUGGAACUGAGACACGGUCCAG